CCAUGGGGAAUUUUUCACAAAGGGGGCAAACCUGAAUCCAGCCAUUCCGGGUGUAUGAAGAAGGCCUUCGGGUUGGUAAAGUCCUUUUCGGCGGGAAGAAGGUGUUGUGGUUUAAUACCCUCACGAAUUGGCGUUUCCCGCACAAGAAACCCCGGGUAAAUACGGUCCCACCAGCCGGGGUUAUUCGGAGGGGGCCAGGGUUUAUUGGAAUUUAUUGGGGGUAAAGGGCACCCGGGGGGUUUGCCAAUUCGGAUGGGAAAUCCCCGGGUUCAACCUGGGGAAUUCCUUUUAAAACGGCCAAUUUGGAGUGUUGUAAGAGGGGGGUGAAUUUCCCGGGGUAGCGGUAAAAUGGGAAGAUAUUGGGGGGAACCCCGGUGGGGAAGGGGGCCCCCUGGCCAUAACAGGGACGUUAAUGGGAAAAAGCUUGGGGAGCAAACGGGUUUAAGAUACCCGGGUAUUCCCCCCCUUAAAGGAGGUUGACUUGGAGGUUGUGCCCUUGAGGCUGGGGUCCGCAGCUAACGC
rnacentral:rRNA from 1 species